rnacentral:rRNA from 1 species
GUAGUCAUAUGCUUGUCUCAAAGAUUAAGCCAUGCAUGUCUAAGUAUAAACAAAUCUAUACUGUGAAACUGCGAAUGGCUCAUUAAAUCAGUUAUAGUUUAUUUGAUAAUACCUACUACUUGGAUAACCGUGGUAAUUCUAGAGCUAAUACAUGCACAAAAGCCCGACUUCUGGAAGGGCUGUAUUUAUUAGAUACAAAACCAAUGCGGCUUCGGCCGGUUCUUUGGUGAUUCAUAAUAACUUUGCGAAUCGCAUGGCCUUGUGCUGGCGAUGAUUCAUUCAAAUUUCUGCCCUAUCAACUUUCGAUGGUAAGGUAUUGGCUUACCAUGGUUACAACGGGUAACGGGGAAU